GUUACGAAGUGAAAAAUCUCUUGUGUGAAUAUUUUCCAUCUUUCGUCUCGCUACGUUUCUUCCCACUGUAUACCUCUGCUCAUAGUUCCGUUCAGUUGGCAAGUCAAAAAACCAUUCUAUCAGUAUUUCACGGAAUCAUCUUAAAUCAGCUUAAAAUCGGGAAACGAACGGCCGUAAAACCAUAUUGACAGACGGUAGCAUUUAGCCGUUCCCGAAAGUAGCAGGUCAACUUCCGUGAAGGCCACUAAAAGGAACAAUCUAGUCGCCGCACUUCAUUCUGCGGAACUUCUCUGCCGUUCUGGACGGCAGACGACACUAUUUGGAGCACCAGAAGUAAGCGUCUAUCCAAAUAAUGGCUCUCAGUCAGACGUCGGUGUUCACCGACGUUAUUGACGACGUUCUCGUGUAUGAAUGGGCAAUAAGAAUCUUUACUAAAAUUUAUCAUUUUCCUAAUCGUGAAGAAGCCCUUAAACAUAUACAACUACAAGAAGAGGCGGAAAUUUACAAUUGACAUAUAGAAUCUGACCCUAAAUAGAUACUGCCAGCACCAUCACCAUUCACAUCGUCAUCAUAAUUUUCAGCCAAACCCGACAGCUGCUCCCCCAGGAAAGAAGACGCACAUCGUACGCAACAACUACAGCAUCCGCAACGGGGAGGUUUUCGUGGAAAACAAGCUAAGUGGAACGCCAAAACUACACCAGCAGCAGCAGCAACGACCCAGGGAGGACGAUACCGAUGACAUCACCGCCGAAGAAGGACUGGUUAUCGAAAUACGUAAAGCACUACAUGCUGUGAAUGAAGCGGAGCACCCGCAAAAAUAACCUCAUCUCGCAGAAGAAUGCCAACGUAACAACAAAUCCUUCGGAUAUGCUGAGCAGUAAGUUGGGACCGCUGCCUUCGCUUUCGCCGCCGAUGGUCCAGGAAGGUAUCGACAUCAAGUCGAUCCAGUGGUCGCAGCAUUAGAGCGGACGGGUCGGGGCAUAUUUUAAAGAGAGAUUUUGAUUUUGUGUGUUCUGCUGUGUAUGGUUGAAUUCAGUGAGGGUUUUUUUUUAAUUGUUAAUCAUUGAUUGUGUUAUUAACACAUCCACUUUUGGUAGUAAGUAGGUAUUGAGACGAGAGAAAAAUAAUGUAUAGCUUUGCUACAUAUGCUAUUAGAGACAGCAAUAAAUCUUAAGACAGUGAAAUCAUUGUGAGUAUUUCAUCAUUCACUUGGCGAAAAAACUUCCUAUCAGCGAUUGUUUGAAAUAGUAUAAACUUUGUUAGUUCCCGUCAAGGACGGCGUUGUUACGACUACGCUAAAUUCGCAAAUCUGAGGUAUUCGUGGACUGCCAUCUCAGAUUUGCUUUGGCGCGGAUUAGUUCCACUUAGGGUUAAUUCAACUAAGU